AAGUCGUAACAAGGUUUCCGUAGGUGAACCUGCGGAAGGAUCAUUAAUGUAACCGGACCGGUCCUUUGCCGUAAAACGCACCGGAUUGGAAAGGGAGAUAUCAUACACCCUGUGUUUAUUUACCUUUGUUGCUUUGGCGGGCCGUCCUUUAGGCGUCGGCCCCGGCUGAUCGCGCCCGCCAGAGGACCCAAACUCUUUUAUCAGUGAUGUCUGAGUACUAUAUAAUAGUUAAAACUUUCAACAACGGAUCUCUUGGUUCUGGCAUCGAUGAAGAACGCAGCGAAAUGCGAUAAGUAAUGUGAAUUGCAGAAUUCAGUGAAUCAUCGAAUCUUUGAACGCACAUUGCGCCCCUUGGUAUUCCGAGGGGCAUGCCUGUUCGAGCGUCAUUAUAACCACUCAAGCCUGGCUUGGUAUUGGGGUUUUCGCGUGUUCGCGGCCCUUAAAAUCAGUGGCGGUGCCGUCUGGCUCUAAGCGUAGUAAUUUCUCUCGCUAUAGGGUUCCGGUGGUUACUUGCCAAAACCCCCCAUUUUUUCUAGGUUGACCUCGGAUCAGGUAGGGAUACCCGCUGAACUUAA
rnacentral:rRNA from 1 species